rnacentral:rRNA from 1 species
GAUCAUGACUCAGGAUAAACGCUGGCGGCGCACAUAAGACAUGCAAGUCGAACGAACUUAAUCGACUCUUUUAGAUUCGAAGCGGUUAGUGGCGGACUGGUGAGUAACACGUAAGCAACCUACCUAUUAGAGGGGAAUAACAGUGAGAAAUCACUGCUAAAACCGCAUAUGCCGUGAAUAUCGCAUGAUAAAAACGGGAAAGAGCAAUCUGCUAAUAGAUGGGCUUGCGU